GACGAACGCUGGCGGCGUGCUUAACACAUGCAAGUCGAACGGUGAAGCUCCAGCUUGCUGGAGUGGAUCAGUGGCGAACGGGUGAGUAACACGUGAGCAACCUGCCCCUGACUCUGGAAUAAGCGCUGGAAACGGCGUCUAAUGCUGGAUACGAGAAGGGUCCGCAUGGGCACUUUCUGGAAAGUUUUUCGGUUGGGGAUGGGCUCGCGGCCUAUCAGCUUGUUGGUGAGGUAAUGGCUCACCAAGGCGACGACGGGUAGCCGGCCUGAGAGGGCGACCGGCCACACUGGGACUGAGACACGGCCCAGACUCCUACGGGAGGCAGCAGUGGGGAAUAUUGCACAAUGGGCGAAAGCCUGAUGCAGCGACGCCGCGUGAGGGAUGACGGCCUUCGGGUUGUAAACCUCUUUCAGCAGGGAAGAAGCGAAAGUGACGGUACCUGCAGAAGAAGCACCGGCUAACUACGUG
rnacentral:rRNA from 1 species